rnacentral:rRNA from 1 species
AAAGGUAGCGUAAUCACUAGUUUUUUAAUUGAAAGCUUGUAUGAAUGGUUGGACGAGGUAAACACUGUCUUUAUUUUAUUAAAAUUAGAAUUUAACUUUUAAGUGAAAAGGCUUAAAUUUAACUAAUAGACGAGAAGACCCUAUAGAUCUUUAUGAAUUAUUUAUUAAGUUAUGUUAGGAUUACUUGUUGAUUAAUAAUGAACUUCAUUUUAUUGGGGUAAUAUAAAGAUUCAUUAAAUUCUUUGAAUAUUUAAACAAAGAUAAUUGGUUAAUUGAUCCAUUAUUAUUGAUUAUAAGAUUAAGUUACCUUAGGGAUAACAGCGUGAUUUUUUUGGAGAGUUCAUAUCGAUAAAGAAGU